GCCCUCAAGUAAACGGCGAGUGAGCGGCAAAAGCUCAAAAUUUGAAAUCUAGCACCUUCGGUGUUCGCAGUUGUAAUUUGAAGAUGGUAACCUUGGGUUUGGCUCUUGUCUAUGUUCCUUGGAACAGGACGUCAUAGAGGGUGAGAAUCCCGUCUGAUGAGAUGCCCAUUCCUAUGUAAGGUGCUAUCGAAGAGUCGAGUUGUUUGGGAAUGCAGCUCUAAGUGGGUGGUAAAUUCCAUCUAAAGCUAAAUAUUGGCGAGAGACCGAUAGCGAACAAGUACAGUGAUGGAAAGAUGAAAAGAACUUUGAAAAGAGAGUGAAAAAGUACGUGAAAUUGUUGAAAGGGAAGGGCAUUAGAUCAGACUUGGUGUUUUACGAUUAUCUUCUCUUCUUGAGUUGUGCACUCGUAUUUCACUGGGCCAGCAUCGAUUCGGAUGGCAAGAUAAUAGCAGUUGAAUGUGGCUUCACUUCGGUGGAGUGUUAUAGCUUCUGUUGAUAUUGCCUGUCUGGAUCGAGGGCUGCGUCUUUUGACUAGGAUGCUGGCGUAAUGAUCUAAUGCCGCCCGUCUUGA
rnacentral:rRNA from 1 species